AUUGAACGCUGGCGGCAUGCCUUACACAUGCAAGUCGAACGGCAGCAUGGAGGGCUUGCUCUCUGAUGGCGAGUGGCGAACGGGUGAGUAAAGCAUCGGAACGUACCGUGUAGUGGGGGAUAACGUAGCGAAAGUUACGCUAUACCGCAUACGUACUGAGGUAGAAAGCAGGGGAUCGUAAGACCUUGCGCUAUACGAGCGGCCGAUGUCAGAUUAGCUAGUUGGUAGGGUAAAGGCCUACCAAGGCGACGAUCUGUAGCGGGUCUGAGAGGAGGGUCCGCCACACUGGGACUGAGACACGGCCCAGACUCCUACGGGAGGCAGCAGUGGGGAAUUUUGGACAAUGGGGGCAACCCUGAUCCAGCCAUGCCGCGUGAGUGAAGAAGGCCGUCGGGUUGUAAAGCUCUUUCGGCCGGGAAGAAAUCGCACAGGCUAAUACCCUGUGUGGAUGACGGUACCGGCAUAAGAAGCACCGGCUAACUACGUGCCAGCAGCCGCCGCGG
rnacentral:rRNA from 1 species